GUUCUCAACUCCCUUUCAUUUCUAUGUAUUUUGUUGAGAGUUAGGCAGUAGUUAUGUUGGUGGCCUCUUUUGAUUAUUGUGACUUGAGUUUGUGCGUUUUGGCUAAUGUUUAGCUCAAUGAGAUGAGCUUGAUCUUUAGACUAGAGUAUUGAUCUGGAAAUGGUUAUAAUGUGCCACUGUGGUGGGGUUUUUAUCAUUUGAAGGCAGUUGUAAAAAAAAACAUGUGAGUUCCUAUGCUGCGAAAACUACUUAGGCUGUCGAUUUUGAGGUAAAGGCAGUAGUCUAUUGCUUCUAGUUCUAGUGUUUCUACAUGGUGACAUGAAAGAUUGAUUAAGCAAAAGGGAUGGGGGUGAUUUACCUCUUGAAACCGCAGCUGCUUGAAUUUUCAGCUCUUAGAGCUCAAGCUCUCCUACUCUAAGUCUUAUUAUGUUGCUGGAAGUUUGAAGUAUGUGGAAGGGAGUUCAUAAGUGUGGUGGAGGGGCUUUUUAUAGGCUGAUUGGUGUACUUGUGAGCCUUAAAUGAGGCUGCUGUACCAUUUGUUGCUAUGUGGCAGAAAAUCUCACCUUUAGUGAUCCUUAUGCAGCAUUCUUUAACUGAGAAUUGGUGGUAUUCCAAGGACAUAAGGACUAUGCAUUCAUGCCAUUUGUUGUCUUUCUUCUCCUUUUUGCAGGGGCUUGUUGAGGGGUCAAAAGUUGCAGCUGUUCUUGCCUCUUUUGGCAAGUGUUUGGUCUAUAUUUGAAAGGUGUUCACAGAGGUGAUGGCUCGAACAUGGCUCGUGUUAAAAUCAGAAGGGCCGAGAAAGGGUUUGGGUCUGAGGAGGAAGUCGAAGUCCAAGGGUGGAAGCUGCACUAAAAAAAAGUCCCUCUUCCAAGCUCUAGGCCCAUACUUGUAUAAUUUGUACUUAGCAUUCAAAUUUCCUUUUUCUUAAACCCACAUGUAUUUAAUUAAGUAAGCUAAAGUGUAAUUUGGAAAGUAGUUGCACUUUCUUAGCUAGAAAGUAAAUUAUUCUCAUUCUUCUUCGUUA